AUCGAACGCUGGCGGCAUGCCUAACACAUGCAAGUCGAGCGAGCGGCGGACGGGUGAGUAAUGUAUGGGGAUCUGCCCGUUUGAGGGGGAUAACUACUGGAAACGGUGGCUAGUACCGCAUACUAUCGGGCGAUCCCAUAUGGGAUUAGCUAGUGGGUGGGGUAAAGGCUCACCAAGGCGACGAUCUCUAGCUGGUCUGAGAGGAUGAUCAGCCACACUGGGACUGAGACACGGCCCAGACUCCUACGGGAGGCAGCAGUGGGGAAUAUUGCACAAUGGGCGAAAGCCUGAUGCAGCCAUGCCGCGUGUAUGAAGAAGGCCUUAGGGUUGUAAAGUACUUUCAGCGGGGAGGCGUUACCCGCAGAAGAAGCACCGGCUAACUCCGUGCCAGCCGCCGCGGUAAUAC
rnacentral:rRNA from 1 species